rnacentral:rRNA from 1 species
UCGGGAAUUUUGGACAAUGGGCGCAAGCCUGAUCCAGCCAUGCCGCGUGAGUGACGAAGGCCUUAGGGUUGUAAAGCUCUUUUGGCGGGGAAGAUAAUGACGGUACCCGCAGAAUAAGCUCCGGCUAACUUCGUGCCAGCAGCCGCGGUAAUACGAAGGGAGCUAGCGUUGUUCGGAAUCACUGGGCGUAAAGCGCACGUAGGUGGGCAGUUAAGUCAGGGGUNAAAGCCCGAGGCUCAACCUCGGAAUUGCCUCUGAUACUGGCUGUCUAGAGUUCGAGAGAGGUGAGUGGAAUUCCUAGUGUAGAGGUGAAAUUCGUAGAUAUUAGGAAGAACACCGGUGGCGAAGGCGGCUCACUGGCUCGAUACUGACACUGAGGUGCGAAAGCGUGGGGAGCAAAA